rnacentral:rRNA from 1 species
GACAGAGGAGGCGAGCGUUAUCCGGAGUCAUUGGGCGUAAAGGGUACGUAGGCGGCUAGUCAAGUCUGAGGUUAAAGACCACAGCUCAACUGUGGGAAGGCCUUGGAAACUGACUGGCUAGAGUGGGGCAGGGGUUGCGGGAAUUCCCGGUGUAGCGGUGAAAUGCGUAGAUAUCGGGAAGAACACCUGAGGCGAAAGCGCGCAACUGGGCCCUAACUGACGCUGAGGUACGAAAGCUAGGGGAGCGAAUGGG